rnacentral:rRNA from 1 species
AGAUUGAACGCUGGCGGCAGGCCUAGCACAUGCAAGUCGAGCGGCAGCACGGGCACUUGUACCUGGUGGCGAGCGGCGGACGGGUGAGUAAUGCCUAGGAAUCUGCCUGAUAGUGGGGGAUAACGUUCGGAAACGGACGCUAAUACCGCAUACGUCCUACGGGAGAAAGUGGGGGAUCUUCGGACCUCACGCUAUCAGAUGAGCCUAGGUCGGAUUAGCUAGUUGGUAGGUAAAGCCUACCAAGGCUACGAUCCGUAACUGGUCUGAGAGGAUGAUCAGCCACACUGGAACUGAGACACGGUCCAGACUCCUACGGGAGCAGCAGUGGGAAUAUUGGACAAUGGGACAAAGCCUGAUCCAGCCAUGCCGCGUGUGUAGAAGAAGGUCUUCGGAUUGUAAAAGCUAACGUUUUAAGGUUGGGAAGGAAGGGACUAAUUAAACCUAAUUACGUUAAGUUGUUUUGACGUUACGACAGAAUAAGCAACGGCUAACUCUGUCGCAGCAACG